UACGUAGGGCGCAAGCGUUGUCCGGAAUUAUUGGGCGUAAAGAGCUCGUAGGCGGCUUGUCACGUCGGGUGUGAAAGCCCGGGGCUUAACCCCGGGUCUGCAUUCGAUACGGGCUAGCUAGAGUGUGGUAGGGGAGAUCGGAAUUCCCGGUGUAGCAGUGAAAUGCGUAGAUAUCGGGAGGAACACCAGUGGCGAAGGCGAGUCCCUGGACAAUUCCUGACGCUGAGGCACGAAAGCCAGGGGAGCAAACAGG
rnacentral:rRNA from 1 species